ACGAGUUUCGUACUCCAAACCCUUUGUGAACAUACCUGUUUUCGUUGCUUCGGCAGGUGAAGGUCGGGGGCAACCCCGCCCGCCGCCGGCUCCCCCACCGCGGGGUCCCGGCGGGCCUGCCGGAGGGCACAGACUCUGUAUUUACAACGUACCUCUCUGAGUUAUCUUUACAAAUAAGUAA
rnacentral:misc_RNA from 1 species